GACGAACGCUGGCGGCGUGCCUAAUACAUGCAAGUAGAACGCUGAAGAGAGGAGCUUGCUCUUCUUGGAUGAGUUGCGAACGGGUGAGUAACGCGUAGGUAACCUGCCUUGUAGCGGGGGAUAACUAUUGGAAACGAUAGCUAAUACCGCAUAACAAUGGAUGACACAUGUCAUUUAUUUGAAAGGGGCAAUUGCUCCACUACAAGAUGGACCUGCGUUGUAUUAGCUAGUAGGGGAGGUAACGGCUCACCUAGGCGACGAUACAUAGCCGACCUGAGAGGGUGAUCGGCCACACUGGGACUGAGACACGGCCCAGACUCCUACGGGAGGCAGCAGUAGGGAAUCUUCGGCAAUGGGGGCAAACCUGACCGAGCAACGCCGCGUGAGUGAAGAAGGUUUUCGGAUCGUAAAGCUCUGUUGUAAGUCAAGAACGAGUGUGAGAGUGGAAAGUUCACACUGUGACGGUAGCUAACCAGAAAGGGACGGCUAACUACGUG
rnacentral:rRNA from 1 species